rnacentral:misc_RNA from 1 species
GAUGAAGAACGCAGCGAAAUGCGAUAAGUAAUGUGUAUUGCAGAAUUCAGUGAAUCAUCGAAUCUUUGAACGCACCUUGCGCCCUUUGGCCAUUCCGAAGGGCAUGCCUGUUUGAGUAUCAUGAACACCUCAACUCUUCAUGGUUUUCCAUGAUGAGCUUGGACUUUGGGGGUCUUGCUGGCCUGUGGGUCGGCUCCUCUCAAAUGAAUCAGCUUGCCGGUUUUUGGUGGGCAUCACAGGUGUGAUAACUAUCUACGCUUGUGGUUUUCCACCAGGGUAACCUUCAGCAGUGGAGGUUCACUGGAGCUUACAAAUGUCUCUCCUCUGUGAGGACAGCCCUUUGAAUGUUUGAUCUCAAAUCAGGUAGGACUACCCGCUGAACUUAAGCAUAUCAAUAAGCGGAGGA